rnacentral:rRNA from 1 species
AUGAACGCUGGCGGCGUGCCUAAUACAUGCAAGUCGAGCGAACAGACGAGGAGCUUGCUCCUCUGACGUUAGCGGCGGACGGGUGAGUAACACGUGGAUAACCUACCUAUAAGACUGGGAUAACUUCGGGAAACCGGAGCUAAUACCGGAUAAUAUAUUGAACCGCAUGGUUCAAUAGUGAAAGACGGUUUUGCUGUCACCUAUAGAUGGAUCCGCGCCGCAUUAGCUAGUUGGUAAGGUAACGGCUUACCAAGGCAACGAUACGUAGCCGACCUGAGAGGGUGAUCGGCCACACUGGAACUGAGACACGGUCCAGACUCCUACGGGAGGCAGCAGUAGGGAAUCUUCCGCAAAGGGCGAAAGCCUGACGGAGCAACGCCGCGUGAGUGAUGAAGGUCUUCGGAUCGUAAAACUCUGUUAUUAGGGAAGAACAAAUGUGUAAGUAACUAUGCACGUCUUGACGGUACCUAAUCAGAAAGCCACGGCUAACUACGUG